rnacentral:rRNA from 1 species
UGGGGAAUAUUGCACAAUGGGCGCAAGCCUGAUGCAGCCAUGCCGCGUGUAUGAAGAAGGCCUUCGGGUUGUAAAGUACUUUCAGUCGGGAGGAAGGUGGUAAGGUUAAUAACCUUAUCAAUUGACGUUACCGACAGAAGAAGCACCGGCUAACUCCGUGCCAGCAGCCGCGGCAAUACGGAGGGUGCAAGCGUUAAUCGGAAUUACUGGGCGUAAAGCGCACGCAGGCGGUUGAUUGAGUCAGAUGUGACAUCCCCGGGCUUAACCCGGGAAUUGCAUCUGAUACUGGUCAGCUAGAGUCUUGUAGAGGGGGGUAGAAUUCCAUGUGUAGCGGUGAAAUGCGUAGAGAUGUGGAGGAAUACCGGUGGCGAAGGCGGCCCCCUGGACAAAGACUGACGCUCAGGUGCGAAAGCGUGGGGGGCAAACAGG